rnacentral:rRNA from 1 species
GGACCCGCACAAGUAGUGGAGCAUGUGGUUUAAUUCGAAGAUACGCGCAGAACCUUACCAACACUUGACAUGUUCGUCGCGACUUUAAGAGAUUAAAGUUUUCGGUUCGGCCGGACGAAACACAGGUGCUGCAUGGCUGUCGUCAGCUCGUGUCGUGAGAUGUUGGGUUAAGUCCCGCAACGAGCGCAACCCUCACUUUUAGUUGCCAUCAUUUAGUUGGGCACUCUGAAAGAACUGCCAGUGAUAAGCUGGAGGAAGGUGGGGAUGACGUCAAGUCCUCAUGGCCCCUUACGUGUUGGGCUACACACGUGCUACAAUGGUAUCUACAACAGGAAGCCAAAAACCCGCGGGUU